CAGCCGCCGCGGUAAUACGGAGGGUGCAAGCGUUAAUCGGAAUUACUGGGCGUAAAGCGUGCGUAGGCGGCUUCUUAAGUCGGAUGUGAAAUCCCUGAGCUUAACUUAGGAAUUGCAUUCGAUACUGGGAAGCUAGAGUAUGGGAGAGGAUGGUAGAAUUCCAGGUGUAGCGGUGAAAUGCGUAGAGAUCUGGAGGAAUACCGAUGGCGAAGGCAGCCAUCUGGCCUAAUACUGACGCUGAGGUACGAAAGCAUGGGGAGCAAACAGGAUUAGAUACCCCUGUAGUCCCUGUCUCUUAUAC
rnacentral:rRNA from 1 species